rnacentral:rRNA from 1 species
UACGUAGGGGGCAAGCGUUGUCCGGAAUCAUUGGGCGUAAAGAGCGCGUAGGCGGCCCUGUAAGUCCGCUGUAAAAGUCAAGGGCUCAACCCUUGGAUGCCGGUGGAUACUGCAGGGCUAGAGUCCGGAAGAGGCGAGUGGAAUUCCUGGUGUAGCGGUGAAAUGCGCAGAUAUCGGGAGGAACACCGGUGGCGAAGGCGGUUCUCUGGGCCUGUACUGACGCUGAGGAGCGAAAGCGUGGGGAGCGAACAGG